AAAGGGGAGCAAUCCCUGAGUUAGAGUGGCAAACGGGUGAGUAACACGUGGGUGACCUGCCUUCGAGUGGGGGAUAACGUCCCGAAAGGGACGCUAAUACCGCAUGACAUCCUGCUUUUGGAAAAGCGGAGAUCAAAGCUGGGGAUCGCAAGACCUGGCGCUUGAAGAGGGGCCCGCGCCUGAUUAGCUAGUUGGUGGGGUAAUGGCUCACCAAGGCAACGAUCAGUAUCCGGCCUGAGAGGGCGGACGGACACACUGGGACUGAGACACGGCCCAGACUCCUACGGGAGGCAGCAGUGGGGAAUUGUUCGCAAUGGGCGCAAGCCUGACGACGCAACGCCGCGUGGAGGAUGAAGAUCUUCGGGUCGUAAACUCCUGUCGAGUGGGAAGAAUAGCCUCGGGGUGAAUAUUCUCGAGGCCUGACGGUACCACUAAAGGAAGCCCCGGCUAACUCCGUGCCAGCAGCCGCGGUAAUACGGGGGGGGCAAGCGUUGUUCGGAAUUACUGGGCGUAAAGGGCUCGUAGGCGGCCAACUAAGUCGGAUGUGAAAUCCCCAGGCUCAACCUGGGAACUGCAUCCGAUACUGGAUGGCUUGAAUUCGGGAGAGGGAUGCAGAAUUCCAGGUGUAGCGGUGAAAUGCGUAGAUAUCUGGAGGAAUACCGGUGGCGAAGGCGGCAUCCUGGACCGACAUUGACGCUGAUGAGCGAAAGCUAGGGGAGCAAACGGGAUUAGAUACCCCGGUAGUCCUAGCCCUAAACGAUGAAUGCUUGGUGUAACGGGUAUCGAU
rnacentral:rRNA from 1 species